GACAGAGGGUGCAAACGUUGCUCGGAAUCACUGGGCGUAAAGGGCGUGUAGGCGGGAAGGAAAGUCGGGCGUGAAAUCCCUGGGCUCAACCCAGGAACUGCACUCGAAACUUCUUUUUCUUGAGUGCCGGAGAGGAAAGCGGAAUUCCUGGUGUAGAGGUGAAAUUCGUAGAUAUCAGGAGGAACACCAGUGGCGAAGGCGGCUUUCUGGACGGUAACUGACGCUGAGGAAGCGGAAAGCGUGGGGAGCGAACAGG
rnacentral:rRNA from 1 species